rnacentral:rRNA from 1 species
UACGUAGGGUGCAAGCGUUGUUCGGAAUUACUGGGCGUAAAGGGCGCGUAGGCGGCCUUCUAAGUCGAACGUGAAAUCCCCGGGCUCAACCCGGGAACUGCGUCCGAGACUGGCAGGCUCGAAUCCGGGAGAGGGAUGUGGAAUUCCAGGUGUAGCGGUGAAAUGCGUAGAUAUCAGGAGGAACACCAAUAGCGAAGGCAGCUCGCUGGGACGGUACUGACGCUAAGGUGCGAAAGCGUGGGGAGCGAACAGG